rnacentral:rRNA from 1 species
UACGGAGGGGGCUAGCGUUGUUCGGAAUUACUGGGCGUAAAGCGCACGUAGGCGGCUUUGCAAGUUAGAGGUGAAAGCCCGGGGCUCAACUCCGGAAUUGCCUUUAAAACUGCAUCGCUAGAAUCGUGGAGAGGUAAGUGGAAUUCCGAGUGUAGAGGUGAAAUUCGUAGAUAUUCGGAAGAACACCAGUGGCGAAGGCGACUUACUGGACACGUAUUGACGCUGAGGUGCGAAAGCGUGGGGAGCAAACAGG